UGACCAUCUAGUGCUUCCCGAACACUCAGCCCUGAUAUCGUCCCCUGCCAGUACAUUCACAUCCAAGGAUAGGGGAACUGGCACCGAGAUGCUCUGAAAGAUAGUGGGUAGCGGCUUUUAUACUGCUCCGAAACCAUGGCAACGGCAAAAAGACUUCUCUGUUGCCAGCAUCUGGAGAGCAGCUGAUUGUCUCCAAAGUGACCCUUUUGGUUCAACUACUGCAUUUCCCUUUGAGCUACCCAGCUGACUGUCGGCAGGCUCCAACAAGUGGCGCCCAGUGAGGGGGCGGG